rnacentral:pre_miRNA from 1 species
CAAGUACUCCCUCCGUCCCAAAAUUCUUGUCUUAAAUUUGUCUAAAUAUGGAUGUAUCAAGUCACGUUUUAGUAUUAGAUACAUCCGUAUCUAGACAAAUCUAAGACAAGAAUUUUGAAACGGAGGGAGUAGAAC